rnacentral:snoRNA from 14 species
CCAAUAAUGAAUAUGCAUCAUGUGCCAAGGAUUAUGAUCAAUCCAAUUCUGUUCACCUGAGG